UUACCUUCUGUUUUGUGCCAUUUUUCUGGACCACUGAUGAACUCUGAUGGAAUUGAGGAACCGAGGAA